UGGGGUACAGCUCAGCUGGACAGCAUUUGCUUUAUAAGCAGGAGACUGUGGGUUCAAUUCCCACCAUCCUAA
rnacentral:tRNA from 1 species